CUAUAUUAAUUUUAUAGAUUACUUGUACGUUUGCAUUAAGUAAAAUAAAUAAGUGACAAUUAUUCAAUAUAUAACCAACAAUGAAAAAAAAAGCGCACAAGCAGAUAACCUUCCGUAGGUAAUAAAAUAAAGAAUGAUAAGGAAAAAUAGAAUUGUCUUUAUUACACUUACAAGAGUGGAUCCAUUCACUUCGCAACUCAACGAUUGAACACUUAGAGUCACCAGAGCUCCUCUUCCUGUGGUAGUAUUCACAGCAAUAUCGUGCGGUAUUUUGACUUGCUUUAACAAUUGUGAAGUAUUCAGAUCGAAGACAAGAAGUUGUGGAGGACAUACGGAUUGGACAUUAUUGAUGAGACCUGAGUCCAAGACCCAUAAUCUGUCACAUAUAUCAAUCUAAAUAUCGUACGUAAAUUGAGCUUUUUUAUUUUGAAAAAUAACAUUAAUUUUGAAUGUAAUCACAGAAAAAGUUUCUGAUUACCUCAAUCUUGUAAACACUCAUGAUACCAGAGCAAUUCUCAUUUUUCGCCCAUGUCCAAUCAGGAUAUGGUGCUAGAAGAGGUCCACCGUUGCCAGUUUUAUUAGUUAUCACAUUCAAAGAAGAAGGCACACCAUUAAACUUCAUUAUAAUAGCAAAAGUCUUAUCUAGAAAGGAAAACAUGGGAUAUUUCUGAAUGAUGAUAAUAAUCGAAAAAUUUGAAUAAUGAAAAAAUAUUACGGAA